UACAGAGGUCUCAACCGUUGUUCGGAUUCAUUGGGCGUAAAGGGUGCGUAGGCGGUCUCGCAAGUCGGAUGUGAAAUCUCAGGGCUCAACCCUGAAACUGCAUUCGAUACUGCGUGGCUAGAGUGCUGGAGAGGAGACUGGAAUUUACGGUGUAGCAGUGAAAUGCGUAGAUAUCGUAAGGAAGACCAGUGGCGAAGGCGAGUCUCUGGACAGCAACUGACGCUGAGGCACGAAAGCGUGGGGAGCAAACAGG
rnacentral:rRNA from 1 species